rnacentral:rRNA from 1 species
AUGAACGCUGGCGGCGUGCCUAAUACAUGCAAGUCGAGCGAACGGACGAGAAGCUUGCUUCUCUGAUGUUAGCGGCGGACGGGUGAGUAACACGUGGAUAACCUACCUAUAAGACUGGGAUAACUUCGGGAAACCGUAGCUAAUACCGGAUAAUAUUUUGAACCGCAUGGUUCAAAAGUGAAAGACGGUCUUGCUGUCACUUAUAGAUGGAUCCGCGCUGCAUUAGCUAGUUGGUAAGGUAACGGCUUACCAAGGCAACGAUGCAUAGCCGACCUGAGAGGGUGAUCGGCCACGCUGGAACUGAGACACGGUCCAGACUCCUACGGGAGGCAGCAGUAGGGAAUCUUCCGCAAUGGGCGAAAGCCUGACGGAGCAACGCCGCGUGAGUGAUGAAGGUCUUCGGAUCGUAAAACUCUGUUAUUAGGGAAGAACAUAUGUGUAAGUAACUGUGCACAUCUUGACGGUACCUAAUCAGAAAGCCACGGCUAACUACGUG